GCACGAUUGUCCGAUUGGUUAGGUGGCAGGCUGCAACCCUGCUGAGGUCGGUUCGAUUCCGGCAUCGUGCUCCA
rnacentral:tRNA from 1 species